UUCGCGUAGAAAACGGGAAAACGGUCCCAUCAUACAGAGGCAGCGCAAAACAUCCGGCUGGUUUGCAGCGUGACCCAGCCUGACUGCGUCAAGUGUGAGAGUGACCAGGCCACUUCCGCUCCGGUAUUUUAAGACGUGCAGUGGGAUGGGCCGUGGGGUUUGAAACGAUGCCACCAUGCGGUGCAAGUACGUAACAGCAAGUAAUGUUUUAUUAGUCUUAAAGGAAAAUCAGACCAUUUCAAACAGUUAAGUUUUUAAUGAAAGGAUAACAGCAUUGUAAAUUACGUCUGAUUUUAUUCAAUGGAAAUAAAAAGACCUUCAGGAAAAUACAGUAAUUCCCAUAGUACACACAGAGAGGACAUAAAUUAGACAUGCCAGAGAAACGUUUGAGGGGGAAACGUGUCACCUGGGUGGUAGAAAACAUUUGAUCCAUGCUGCCACACAGCCAGAAUGUAGAGGAAUCAGUGAAAUGACACUCAGGACUUGUGUAAAGUGAGCCAAAAGGUUGAUUAUUCCUGUACACAAACGUCUAAAUGAAAGUACAAAAAGGGAAUAAUACAAAAUACAAAACAGGGAGGAGGAAAAAAACAAAUCUGCCCUCAAAAUAAACCAUAAAUAUUCAUAUCGAUGCACAUUGGUUCAACAAAACAAUUGCUUCUGUAAACAUUUUGAACGUAAGGUGUGCAUUACACUUUAAAAACCACUGCAUACUUAAUUAUCUGAAGGGUUACAUAAUAAAACUAAAAAUUUUUAGAGUUAAAAAUAUGUCAGUUUCUUCUGAAGUGGUUUCUAACACUGCUUUUUGUUUGUUGCUUUUCACAGAUGACAGUGAACGCAUCCGAUUAGCUCUUAGCAGGUUUCCCUCAGUGAAGAAGACAGUGAAGGCACCACACUUAACUGACAGCGAGAUCAAGUGGAGGCGAAACCCGGAGGUUUUCUCUUACAAAGAUUCAACUAGUCUUGUCGUUUGAGCGUCAGAAGAGGAAAAAAAAAUACAAAUUAAUGAUCAAGGAAACUAACCAGCCUGUGAGAAC